AUAAAAUUCAUAGAUUCAUUAUGAUUUCACAGAGAAUCAUAAUUGUGGUAAAGAUUUAUCAAGUAAUUAUGGGUAAGUCUAGUAUUGUUUAUUUAAUGCAAUGCUUGAGUUACCAGAAUAAGUAUUAAUUUUCAAUUCAAACAUUUUUCAUGUAGCUUGUUUUCCAAAGUGAAAUAUGAGUGGUGCUACUUUAAAUGAAUAGGGACAGAAAUACUAAGUUUUAGAUGCAGGAUUACUUGAUGUCCAUUACUUUAUAAACGACAACAGCCCUAGAAAGUACUCUUGUCCACAUGGUACACACAAGGAAAUUGAGAGUCAAAGCGCUUAAGACACUUGGCCAAUCUCACAUGAACAGUAGACAGACAAAUUGAAAGAAACCAUCAUCCCUGCUCGGAGUCCUUAUAAUAGCCUCCUAACUGGUCUCCCCUCUCCACUCUGUCUCACCUCUGCCACUUUGUUCUCCAUCCAGCACUGAGCUUGCUAUUAAAAACUUGUCAUGUUGUGCUGAGAGAGUUGACUGUUGGGAGACAAUUCCACGGAUCACUUUUGUUUCUGCAAAGAUUGGGCCUUCUGAGCAAAGACAUGUUUAAAUAGUAGACAGCUUUGGAAGCUAGAGGUGGUGUAUCCCUGUACAGAAAUUUUAAGAACCUACCACCACAGAGACAUCCACGGUAGUAAAGAUAAAGCUCUCUUCUUUUCCUCCCGGAGAUACCCGCUUACAUUCCAGGGUAGUAAGUCAUCUCUCUUCAGAGAGGAGGAAAGGCAAAAAAGCAAACAUAGCAGCGCUAUAAAAGCUCACAGUCACCUAACUGUGUGGUUCCUCUGCCAUGAUGCCCCGUUAGAUCCCACCACCCAUACAAGUUAUGUGAGGUCCUCACUACACUCCUUGCAGAGCUUGGGGCAUAGGAAACGGCAAGAUGUUUCUGCAGCUGCUGACUUUGCUGUGAGUAAUUAACGGUGCACGUCUUUGGUCAGCAUACAUGUAAAACAUCGUGGCAGGUGAGUAGGGUCAAAGUUCAGAUCCUUCACAGUUCCUGACUCAACACUCUCUUCUCUGCUUAAGCCUCCCACGGCCUUCCUACCCCAUUCAAAGUAAAUAUGGAAGCCUUAUGGCUCCCCCUUCCCCCUUCACUGCACACUCACACACAUUAGCUCUUUUACUUUCUCUUCUACGUGCUUGCUUUGCUCCAGCAACACUAGUUUCUUUGCUAACCCUUAAACCUAACAGGCAGCCGCUUGCCUUGAGAGUGCAUUUGCUGUUCCCUCUGCCUGAGCUUCUCCCCCGUGUAUGUGCAGGGCUCCCUUUCGCCAUUCCGACCUUUGUCUGAGCAUCAUGUUCACAACAAGUCUCUUCUGUGGCCAACUUUCACAACUGCAGCCACUCUCUCAAUGCCCUUAGACUCCCACUGCUUUACUUUUACUCAACUUCACUUAUUACAUCUUUUACCUAUUAUCUCAUUUUUGUCCACUUCCCCUAUCAGAAUGACAACUCCAUAAAGACAAGACUUUUGUCUCAUUAUUUAUUGCUGUGUGCAUCAUCUAAAAUAAUAACUGGCUCAUAGCAGGGACUCAAGAAAUAUUUGUCAAAUGAAUGAAUACAUGUAUAACUCUGAAUCUACAUUGUUUUCACUUCUACACUAUCUCUAAUUCUUUAUUAAUAUCCUUUAAUGGAAGAAAACUAACAAUGUUUGGAGUGACAGCUACUUUAGAUUUACCAUUGAGAAAAGAAAAUCAUGAGUUGAAAAAUGAAAUAAUACUAGCAAAUAUAAUGAAGAAGAACUAAAAAUAAAGUGCAAUCCUUGAAAAAUUGCUAAUUUCAGAAACAACUCAAAACCCAUCCACAAGCACACUUGUUCUGGGCAGAUAAGAUGCUUUUAACCAUCUUCAUCUAGGAAUUCCAUCUUCUUGGGAUCAACACACCUUUUUUUGCUAGACUAUCAGGCAGCAAUAUUGAGUUCCAACAUAUGAUUCUUAGUACUUCACUCCAAGCCAAGCUAAUCAAGUAGCCUCAGUAGAUGGCUGAAAAAUUUGCUUUAUUCACAUUUUCUGGGCUGUGUCCAGAAACCCUUUUGUGUGUGCCCUUUCUUUUACAGGUGUGUUGUGAAUUAUCUGGAAAUGAUUCAGUUUUCAGAAGGAGCAACUGGCUAGGGUUCAAACUCUAGAGCAGCUGCAGCAAGGACAGCUCUCUACCCAAUACCAGCUCUCAUGAGCCCAGAUAUUGAUCUCUAAUCCUCUCCUCCCCUGGAAGAGAUCAGGACUUCCUGAUGGAUUAAAAAGCAGAAGACACGCAGGACCAAGAGAGCCUGAUGGUGUAAGAAGUGAAACCAUGUCAUAAACAUGGCUACUCCACUGGCCCGAGAGGCCCAGCCUCGCCAUGGACUGCACACCUGCUAGGGGAAAUGCUCUGAGAUAGUCCUGCUUUUUUUUUCAGGGAGUGGGAAUAGUAGUCAUAAGAAUAUUGAAAACCUAGAAAGGCUUGAGAAAAAGCCCACAGGAAGGAGCAUUAGCAAUAACAGUAAAGAAGAGACAGAAGAAAAAUGUUUUAAAAAAUUAAAUGCACUCUUAUAAACAUACAGUGGUAAGAAUUCUUCUCUACCUAUUGUGUCCAGAAUUGGUUCCUUCCGGUGGAUUCGUGGUCUUGCUGACUUCAAGAAUGGAGCUGCGGACUUUUGCCGUGAGUGUUUCAGCUCUUAAAGAUGGGCCGGACACAAACAGUGAGCAGCAGCAAGAUUUAUUGCGAAGAAUGAAAGACCAAAACUUCCACAAUGUGGAAGGAGACCUGGGUUGCCUGUGCCGGCUGGGGGGUGGCCAGCUUUUAUUCCCUUAUUUGUCCCCGCCCAUGUCCUGCUGAUUGGUCCAUUUUACAGAGUGCCCAUUGGUCUAUUUUACAGAGCACUGAUUGGUCCAUUUUACAGAGUGCUGAUAGGUCCAUUUUACAGAGCACUGAUUGAUCCAUUUUACAAACCUUGAGCUAGCUACAGAGCGCUGAAUGGUGCAUUUUUACAGAGCGCUGAUUGGUGCAUUUUACAAACCUCUUGCUAGCUACAGAUCGCUGAUCGGUGCGUUUUACAAUCCUCUUGUGAGACAGGAAAGUUCUCCAAGUCCCCACUCGACCCAGGAAGUCCAGCUGGCUUCACCUCUCACUACUAACACACCUCUCACAUUAAAAAUGUAUCAGACUUGGGUAUGUGCUGACCUCCUCAAGGUCUACUCCCUCCCAAAAGAGGGGGAGGGUGUUAUUCUUCCCAUUAAGUAAUUAAAUUACUUGAAUAAUUUAGCACAUGAUCUACUAGUAACUAAUCUGUGGUAUUUGCAUUUAGACUAUAGACAGGCUUUUCCCAAAGACUUGAAAAGAAGGGACAUCAGAUGAGCCUCUUAAAGUCCCUAAAGAUCAGGCAAGGUGAAGAAAGAACCUCGAGAGCGCCUUGAAGACAGACAGACCGGCAGGCUGAGCUGCUAACUGGUCGCCCACACCAGAUUACCGUAAGAGUAUGUGUGUCAGUCAAGUGUCUGGCCAGGUUUGGAAGCCAGGAAAAAGUGAGAGACAGCAGCAAACAGCUCCAUCACUUGGUUAGACCCCACUCCCCGAGCAGCAGUGGCAAGGAAAGCCAGCCUGGAAUGCAGUGGCUGCAGCUGUCCCCUCGGCCUGAGGCCCUUGGACACUGGGCCUGUGCAACUAACUACUCCCACUCUGAGCCCAUGUUCCGCGGGCAGCCCCCGACAUCUGUGCAGAUGGAGGACUGGGGUCACCCUGCAGCUAUACCAGCCAGCCUGCUGAGAAGAUUCUGCAUCUCCUAAGAUGUCGCUUGCUAUUCUGACAUCAUAUCUUGGUCUCUUUUGUUUAAUUAUGACAAAGCAUUCUCUGCAAAAUGCCGCUGUUCUCAUCAUCCUGGUCCAAGCCAAGUUCUGAAUCUGAGAGCGGGACACCAGCCCGAAGCCAAAGCCUCAGAAUACGAAGUGCCCUGCCUUCCAUCCCAGCCCACCCAGACAAGCAACUGAACAAAGUGGAAUAUGGGCUAGUGUUGAGAAGCCAUUCUCAAACCUCCACCAGGGGCUUGCUACAUGACUGGGGACUCCAUGCAAGAAAAUGUGGGGCUCCUCAUUCACAAAAUAGAAAAAGGUAUAAUUAAAGGUAUUAAAAUGUAAAGCAUUUUCUUUUAAAACUAUUUUAUUACUGAUAAAACUUGAGGGUGAUUAGUCAAUAUACUACAGAGAAACAGAACCAAUAGGUUAAUAGGUAGAUGAUAGAUAGAUAAUAAAUAGGUAGACAGAUAGAUAGAAGAUAGAUGGUGAUAUAGUUUUGCUGUGUCCCCACCAAAAUCUCAUCUUGAAUUGUAGUUCCCAGAAUCCCCAUGUAUCAUAAGAGGGACCCAGUGGGAGGUAAUUGAAUCAUGGGGUGGUUAACCCCAUGCUGUUCUCAUGAUAGUGAGUGAGUUCUCACGAGAUCUGAUGGUUUUAUAAGGGACUUUUCUCCGUUUGCUUUGGCACUUCUCAUUCCUACCGCCACAUGAAGAAAGAUGUGUUUGCUUUCUCUUCUGCCGUGAUUAUAAGUUACCUGAGGUAUCCCCAGCCCUGUGAGUCAAUUUAACCUCUUUCCUUUAUAAAUUACCCAGUGUCGGGCAGCUCUUUAUAGCAGCGUGAGAACGAAGUAAUACAGGUAAAUAGUAAGAGGAAGAGGAGAGAUACACAAUAAGGAAUUGGUUCACACAAUUACAGAGGCUAGGAAGUUGCAAGAUCUGCAGUCAGCAGUUACAGACCCAGGAGAGCUGACAAUGUAAGUUCCAGUCCAAGUUUGAAUUUGAGGUCAGAAGGAGACCAAUCUCCCAGUGCAAAGACAGGCAAAGAAAGCAAGUUCUGUCACUCCACCUUUUGUGUUCUAUUCAGGCCUUCAACAGGUUGGAUGAUGCUCACCUGCACCUGGGAGGGCCAUCUGCUAAUUCCAAUGCUGAUCUUAUCCAGAAACACCCUCACAGACACACCUAGAAAUAAUGUUUAACCAAAUAUCUUGGCACCUUACAGCAUAGUUGGGUUGUAACAAAAAAUUAACCUUCACAAGGGGUAAUAGUUUUACCUGAGUAA
rnacentral:lncRNA from 10 species